CAGCCGCCGCGGUAAUACGAAGGGUGCAAGCGUUACUCGGAAUUACUGGGCGUAAAGCGUGCGUAGGCGGUUUGUUAAGUCUGUUGUGAAAUCCCCGGGCUCAACCUGGGAAUGGCAAUGGAUACUGGCAAGCUAGAGUGUGUCAGAGGAUGGUGGAAUUCCCGGUGUAGCGGUGAAAUGCGUAGAGAUCGGGAGGAACAUCAGUGGCGAAGGCGGCCAUCUGGGACAACACUGACGCUGAGGCACGAAAGCGUGGGGAGCAAACAGGAUUAGAUACCCCUGUAGUCCCUGUCUCUUAUAC
rnacentral:rRNA from 1 species